GCCGCCAUCGUCUAAUGGCAAGGACACCGCUUUCUCAAGGCGGAAAUACGGGUUCGACUCCCGUUGGCGGCA
rnacentral:tRNA from 1 species